rnacentral:rRNA from 1 species
CCUACGGGUGGCAGCAGUGGGGAAUAUUGGGCAAUGGGCGCAAGCCUGACCCAGCAACGCCGCGUGAAGGAAGAAGGCUUUCGGGUUGUAAACUUCUUUUCUCAGGGACGAGGAGAAUAACGGUCCCUUUGAAAUAGCCAAGGGCUAACUACGGGCCGGCAGCCGCGGUAUUACGUAGGUGGCAAGGGUUGUCCGGAUUUAUUGGGGGUAAAGGCCUUGGAGGCGGUAGGGCAAGUCAGAUGUGAAAACUCAGGGCUCAACGUGGAACCUGCAUUUGAAACUGUGAUUCUGGAGUGUGGGAGAGGAUAGUGGAAUUCCGGGUGUAGCGGUGAAAUGCGUAGAUAUCCGGAGGAACACCAGUGGCGAAGGCGACUAGCUGGAAAGUAACUGACGCUGAGGAGCGAAAGCGUGGGGAGCAAACAGGAUUAGAUACCCGUGUAGUC